GGGUGAGUAGUCUAGAUUGGUAUGAUGCCAGCCUCGGGAGCUGGUGGUCAGGGGUUCAAAUCCCCUCUCACCCACCA
rnacentral:tRNA from 1 species